GACGAACGCUGGCGGCGUGCUUAACACAUGCAAGUCGAACGGAAAGGCCCUGCUUGUGUGGGGUGCUCGAGUGGCGCACGUGUGUGUAACACGUGUGUAACCUGCUCUUGACUUUGGUAUAACUUCAGGAAACUGUGUCUAAUACCGGAUAGGCGUUCCUGCUGCAUGGUGGGUGUUGGAGAGUUUCGGCGGUUGGGGAUGGACUCGCGGCUUAUCAGCUUGUUGGUGGGGUAGUGGCUUACCAAGGCUUUGACGGGUAGCCGGCCUGAGAGGGUGACCGGCCACAUUGGGACUGAGAUACGGCCCAGACUCCUACGGGAGGCAGCAGUGGGGAAUAUUGCACAAUGGGCGGAAGCCUGAUGCAGCAACGCCGCGUGCGGGAUGACGGCCUUCGGGUUGUAAACCGCUUUCGCCUGGGACGAAGCGAGAGUGACGGUAAUGGGUAAAGAAGCACCGGCUAACUACGUG
rnacentral:rRNA from 1 species